rnacentral:lncRNA from 10 species
GUGAAAACAAGAACAAUCCAGAUGUGGCCUUGGAAUACUUAGGCUGUGCUGUCAAAUCUUAAACUCUAGCUGUAGUUGAGCCAUAUUUAAUGUCAGCCUUUCUAGAUGCUAACGUGGUAAUGUGGCUUAAAAUUUCAUAUGACUUGAACAAGUUAAUUGCUCAGGAAAAAGCACAAUUGUUUCUGACAGCAGGGAGAGAUUUCCCAUUUGUGGGAAAUUUAUUAAACACAGAGGAAUUCACUUAUUUAUUGCUCAGCAUGGUACACUCAUUCCAGUUAGGAAUAUAGACGCUGGUGUAUCUUUUAGAAUAUGGAUUAAGGAUACCAAUGCUACAUACCCUAGGUCUGCCCCACAUUCCAUCCAAGCAUGGACGUUUUCGGUUAAAUUUACAACCCUGGGUCCAUCUGAAAUUAGCCUUCACUGCUCCAAGGAUCCUUAGAAAACAUAAUUCUCUU